rnacentral:rRNA from 2 species
UACGUAGGGUGCAAGCGUUAAUCGGAAUUACUGGGCGUAAAGCGUGCGCAGGCGGUUAUGCAAGACAGAUGUGAAAUCCCCGGGCUUAACCUGGGAACUGCAUUUGUGACUGCAUAGCUGGAGUACGGUAGAGGGGGAUGGAAUUCCGCGUGUAGCAGUGAAAUGCGUAGAUAUGCGGAGGAACACCGAUGGCGAAGGCAGUCCCCUGGACCUGUACUGACGCUCAUGCACGAAAGCGUGGGGAGCAAACAGG